ACCAAUAUUUCCUCUUAACAAACUCAAAUCAAGAAUUGCUCACUCAAACAGUCACUGCCCCCAUAACCAUAAACAAAAAUGGUGGUUGCUGCCUCUGCUGCUGCUCUUGGUAUACUUGGUUUCCCAGACAUGAAGAGCCUCUCCGUCCAAGUCAUCACCGGCCGUUGGUUCAUGGUCUUCGCUUCAUUACUAAUCAUGGCUGCCGCUGGUGCUACCUACAUGUUCAGCCUCUACUCCGGUGAUAUUAAAACUGCUCUUGGAUAUGAUCAAACCACCCUCAAUCUACUCAGUUUCUUCAAGGACCUCGGCGCAAACGUCGGUGUCCUCUCCGGCCUGAUCAACGAGGUCACUCCUCCUUGGGUUGUACUCUCAAUGGGAGCAGUCUUGAACUUUUUUGGGUACUUUAUGAUAUGGCUAGCCGUGACCAGAAAAAUAACUGGCGUCCAUGUCUGCCAUAUGUGUUUGUACAUAUGCAUAGGUGCCAAUUCUCAGUCAUUUGCCAAUACUGGUGCUCUUGUCACCUGCGUCAAGAACUUCCCAGAAAGUCGAGGUGUUGUUCUUGGGAUCUUGAAGGGUUAUGUUGGUCUUAGCGGAGCAAUUAUUACCCAAUUAUAUCAUGCCUUUUAUGGUGAUGAUUCUAAGUCUUUGAUUUUGCUUAUUGGUUUGCUUCCUGCUGCUAUCUCUUUUGCCUUCUUGAGAACCAUUCGAAUCAUGAAGGUAAUUCGCCAACCUAGUGAGCUCAAAGUCUUCUACAAUUUUCUCUACAUUUCUCUUGGCCUUGCAGGGUUUUUGAUGAUGAUAAUUAUAGUAGAGAAAAGGGUUAAUUUUACUCAGAGUGAGUAUGGAGGUAGUGCAGCUAUGGUUAUUUUCUUGCUCUUUUUGCCUCUGGCUAUUGUUGUUAUAGAAGAAUACAAGAUCUGGAAGAGCAAGAAACUAGCCUUGGAUGAUCCUCCACCUUUGAAAAAUAUCAUCACAGACAAGCCGAGUCAAGACACUACCUCAGCAGCCUCUGAUCCGCCAAGUGACUACAAAGAUUUGGUCACAGUAACAGAGUCUGAGGAUAAAAGCAAUGUUUCCUGUUGGAGAACUGCUUUUCGGCAGCCGGAUAGAGGAGAGGACUACACCAUACUACAAGCUCUUUUUAGCAUUGAUAUGUUAAUUCUCUUCUUAGCUACAAUUUGUGGUGUUGGAGGCACUUUGACAGCUAUAGACAACUUGGGUCAGAUAGGGACUUCUUUAGGGUACCCUGAAAGAAGUAUAAGCACUUUUGUGUCAUUAGUUAGCAUAUGGAAUUAUCUUGGUAGAGUUGCAUCAGGUUUCGUUUCUGAACAUUUCUUAACCAAGUUUAAAUUUCCUCGCCCUUUAAUGCUCACUUUAAUCCUUCUAUUUUCAUGUGUGGGUCACCUUCUAAUUGCCUUCAAUGUUCCAAGUGGGCUUUAUGUAGCAUCCAUCAUUAUUGGGUUCUGUUUUGGUGCUCAAUGGCCAUUGCUUUUCGCUAUAAUCUCAGAAAUUUUCGGUCUCAAGUACUACUCUACAUUAUACAAUUUUGGGUCUGUGGCUAGCCCUAUUGGGUCAUAUUUGCUCAGUGUGAGAGUUGCAGGGUAUUUGUAUGAUAGAGAGGCAAAGAAGCAAUUGGCAGCUCAGGGCCGUGUAAGACAACCUGGUCAGGACCUGAAUUGCAUUGGGACUGAAUGCUUCAAGUUAUCCUUCAUUAUAAUUACUACUGUAACAUUAUUUGGUACUUUUGUGUCACUUAUUUUGGUGCUUAGGACAAGGAAAUUUUACAAGAGUGACAUCUACAAGAAGUUCCGGGAGGCAGCUCAGGCGGCCGAGACUGAAAUGGCCAUGGCUAGAAAUGGCGUCGGAAAUACAAGUGAAGGCAGCUAACAAAAUUUCUGAAUUCAAUACCAAGGAAGCCAGAAUUAAAUGAAAAAAAAAAUAGAUUUACUUUAUUAUGUAGCUUAAUCAAUAUUUGAAUACACACAAAAAGGAGUAAUUUUUAUGUAAAAUUCAGAUGUGCAAUCGAUGACUCUCGCAUCAUCUUUCUAUGUACCGUCAAUGGUUGAAUAGCAAGAAACCAAUUACCUGGAAGAAGUUUCGUGUAUAAUUUGUCAGGUUUCUGUAUUUAUGUGUUUGUUUAUUGGUUUCUG
rnacentral:misc_RNA from 1 species